rnacentral:rRNA from 1 species
UACGUAGGGUGCAAGCGUUUAAUCGGAAUUACUGGGCGUAAAGCGUGCGCAGGCGGUUUUGUAAGUCUGUCGUGAAAGCCCCCGGGCUUAACCUGGGAAUUGCGAUGGAGACUGCAAGGCUUGAAUCUGGCAGAGGGGGGGUAGAAUUCCACGUGUAGCAGUGAAAUGCGUAGAGAUGAUGGAGGAACACCGAUGGCGAAGGCAGCCCCCUGGGUCAAGACUGACGCUCAUGCACGAAAGCGUGGGGAGCAAACAGG